GGUGUGCUAUUGUUGGUCAUAUUGACAGAGCAUAUAUAUUGUACUGUUGGGUGUAAAUCACGUUACUUUACAUAAGUAUGUAACACUUAUCAUUUUUUUCUAAUUGAGAACUCGAUAAUUCAUUAAGAUAUCUUAAGUGUUGUCAUGCCAUGCGAAAAUUGUUUCUUAAUACCAGAUGUUGAAAUCCCAAAAUGAAAAAUGUCACGCAAAUGUAUUGAGUGGACACAAAACAAAUAUACAGAACGCGUUAUCACGAUUAUUUUAAUAGCCAGAAAUAAUCUUUUAAUUUUUCUAUAGUUAUGGGAAAGAAAAAA
rnacentral:lncRNA from 1 species